AUCUACCAGGGAUCCACGAAGUAUGAAAGUGCAUUCGCGACCGUGGAGGCGCCUAGAGGUCGUGUAAAAAGCUAACUCGUCUCUCGUUAUUCGGUUAUUCCUCGUUCAUUUCCUCAGCGGCUGUAGCUGUGGAUGGUUAGUUUCGUGCCGCGCAAAAACGUAACGCGUGCUCACAAUGGUUAACGGAAGAAUUCCGUCAGUCUUUUCAAAGACCUAUGUUACCCCAAGAAGACCCUAUGAAAAGGCUCGUCUUGAUCAGGAGUUAAAAAUCAUUGGAGAAUAUGGACUUCGUAACAAACGUGAAGUCUGGCGUGUCAAAUAUACUUUGGCUAAGAUCCGUAAGGCUGCUCGUGAGCUUCUGACUCUUGAAGAGAAAGACCCCAAGCGUCUUUUCGAAGGUAACGCACUGCUACGACGUCUAGUAAGAAUAGGUGUGUUGGACGAAGGGCGUAUGAAGCUUGAUUACGUUCUUGGUUUAAAGAUCGAAGACUUCCUUGAAAGACGUCUUCAGACGCAAGUGUUCAAGCUAGGAUUGGCUAAGUCUAUCCAUCACGCGCGAGUGUUGAUUCGACAGAGACAUAUCCGAUACGAAAACAGCUGAGAUCUGGUAAAAACUAGAUUCACCUGGGAUUUGAAAUGUUAUUAAAUUUUCAGCAGGCCACUUGAAUGUUAAAGAAAUUUAUCAUUCAACGUCUGAUUACACAGCGCCAGACUCUAAUUAUUGCGUACGUAAACAAGUGGUGAACAUCCCAUCCUUUGUUGUACGUCUCGACUCGCAGAAGCACAUCGACUUCUCCCUCAAGUCUCCGUUCGGUGGUGGUCGCCCUGGUCGUGUAAAGAGGAAGAAUCUGAGGAAGGGAAGCAAUGCCGGUGCUCCGGAAGAGGAAGAAGAAUAAACAUUACAAUGUAUCUCUGAACCUCUUUAACAAUAAACAUACAAAAUGAUUACAUA